AACCAACAGGGAUUGCCUUAGUAGCGGCGAGUGAAGCGGCAAAAGCUCAAAUUUUGAAAUCUGGCACUUUCAGUGUCCGAGUUGUAAUUUGAAGAAGGUAUCUUUGGGUCUGGCUCUUGUCUAUGUUUCUUGGAACAGAACGUCACAGAGGGUGAGAAUCCCGUGCGAUGAGAUGUCCCAGACCUAUGUAAAGUUCCUUCGAAGAGUCGAGUUGUUUGGGAAUGCAGCUCUAAGUGGGUGGUAAAUUCCAUCUAAAGCUAAAUAUUGGCGAGAGACCGAUAGCGAACAAGUACAGUGAUGGAAAGAUGAAAAGAACUUUGAAAAGAGAGUGAAAAAGUACGUGAAAUUGUUGAAAGGGAAGGGCUUGAGAUCAGACUUGGUAUUUUGUAUGUUACUCUCUCGGGGGUGGCCUCUACAGUUUACCGGGCCAGCAUCAGUUUGAGCGGUAGGAUAAGUGCAAAGAAAUGUGGCACUGCUUCGGUAGUGUGUUAUAGUCUUUGUCGAUACUGCCAGCUUAGACUGAGGACUGCGGCUUCGGCCUAGGAUGUGGCAUAAUGAUCUUAAG
rnacentral:rRNA from 1 species